GACGAACGCUGGCGGCGCGCCUAACACAUGCAAGUCGAACGGAGCUGAGAGAAGCUUGCUUUUCUUAGCUUAGUGGCGAACGGGUGAGUAACGCGUGAGUAACCUGCCCUGGAGUGGGGGACAACAGUUGGAAACGACUGCUAAUACCGCAUAAGCCCACGAUCCGGCAUCGGAUUGAGGGAAAAGGAUUUAUUCGCUUCAGGAUGGACUCGCGUCCAAUUAGCUAGUUGGUGAGGUAACGGCCCACCAAGGCGACGAUUGGUAGCCGGACUGAGAGGUUGAAAGGCCACAUUGGGACUGAGACACGGCCCAGACUCCUACGGGAGGCAGCAGUGGGGGAUAUUGCACAAUGGGGGAAACCCUGAUGCAGCGACGCCGCGUGGAGGAAGAAGGUUUUCGGAUUGUAAACUCCUGUCGUUAGGGACGAUAAUGACGGUACCUAACAAGAAAGCACCGGCUAACUACGUG
rnacentral:rRNA from 1 species